CAGGAGUCAGAGUGAUAGGGCCAUGCCAAACCAAGAUGCCCAUGUCCAAGGAUCAGCCAGGGUCAGCCAGAUGGUUUCCUUGCAGGAUUCUCACUCUAGACUUCUGGACCAUCAGGAAUGGUAUGUGGUCUCUUCUCUUAGGCUGGAAGGGCAGGGACUUUGAAGGCAGAACAUUGAAGACACAGUGGCCUAGGGGAUCAUCUCAUCAGGGAGGGGUUGGGACUGUGACCCAUGCUACUGGGUCAGACCAGGUGAAGAGUCUCGGGGAACUCAGCAUCAGAUCCAAGAAGACCCCAUCAGAGAGGCCAACUCUGUGCCAAAGUUGUACCAUCAUGGGGAUGGAGCGUGUCAUUAGGACUGAAAAAAGGGCAAGGCUGGAGGGCCUGGGAAGUUCACUGUGGAGGUGGGAGAUGCCUAAAACUCCUUCUUAAUGUGGGUAGGUGGGGCUGUUCUGAGCUAAAGGCUCAGGGUGAGGUAGGGCGUGAGUUUUAGGGAUGUGGUAGGGUCAUAAAAGAAUUCUUUACAGGAGAAUCUUUUACUGUGACACUUAAAAAUAGUUAAGAUGAUACAUUUUAUGCUGUGUGUGUUUUACCAUGAUUAGAAAUGAACAUAAAAUCCAACUAUAUAUUCACCAAACAUAGCAAAAGAACACAAGUACCAAAAUAAACACAUUUUAGGACUUGCAAAUAAAAAGCAUCCAAAAUAAACACAUUUCUGGACUUAAAAAUAAAAAAGAAUCUUUCACAGAAUUUGAUAGAGGUGACCCUGAUGUGAAUGCUAAUAAUAAAGGAUAUGCAGUGUGAUUUGAAAAAUGUUUUUGUAAUGUUGGUCGGCCAGCAGAGAAGAAAUGAGUUUCCUAACACUGGGGGAUGGCCUGUGCGAAGGUGCGGAGGUGAGGAAGUCCCUAAUUAGAAGAGCAGUCUGUCUGGAAUAGAGGCAUGACAGGGAGGCUAAGGAGCACAACGGAAAGCAAACAGGGUGGGGGAGAGUGACGGCGUUUCUAAUACUGCCUCUGCCUCUCACUUGGUAAACUGAUACUGAGCUUUCUAACUCAUAGCUCAGCUCUGUAGAAAAAUAGAUGCAUUUUCUCAAUCAUUGUCCACAACAACUGUAUUAGUCAAGGUUCUCUAGAGGGACAGAAUUAAUAGGAUCUAUGUAUAUAUGAAAGGGAGUUUAUCACAAGGUAAAGUCCCGUAAUAGGCCAUCUGCAAGUUGAGGAGCAAGGAAGCCAGUGGUGGAUCAGUCUGAGUCCCCAAAACCUCCGAAGUAGGGGAGCCAACAGUGCAUCCUUCAGUCUUUUGCCAAAGGCCCAAGAGCCCCUGGCAAACCGCUGAUGUAGGUCCAAGAGUCCAAAAGCUGAGGAACUUGGAAUCUGAUGUUCUAGGGCAGGAAGCAUCCAGCGUGGUAGAAAGAUGAAGGCUGGAAGACUCAGCAAGCCUGCUCUUCCAUCUUCUGCCUUCUUUAUUCUGGCCACGCUGGCAGCUGGUUAGAUGGUGCCCACCCAGAUUGAGGGUUGGUCUGCCUCUCCCAGUGAGUGACUCAAAUGUUAAUCUCCUUUGGCAACACCCUCACAGACACACCCAGGAAUAAUGCUUUGCAUCCUU
rnacentral:lncRNA from 10 species